rnacentral:rRNA from 1 species
GACGAACGUUGGCGGCGUGCUUAACACAUGCAAGUCGAACGGAAAGGCCCUGCUUUUGUGGGGUGCUCGAGUGGCGAACGGGUGAGUAACACGUGAGUAACCUGCCCUUGACUUUGGGAUAACUUCAGGAAACUGGGGCUAAUACCGGAUAGGAGCUCCUGCUGCAUGGUGGGGGUUGGAAAGUUUCGGCGGUUGGGGAUGGACUCGCGGCUUAUCAGCUUGUUGGUGGGGUAGUGGCUUACCAAGGCUUUGACGGGUAGCCGGCCUGAGAGGGUGACCGGCCACAUUGGGACUGAGAUACGGCCCAGACUCCUACGGGAGGCAGCAGUGGGGAAUAUUGCACAGUGGGCGGAAGCCUGAUGCAGCAACGCCGCGUGCGGGAUGACGGCCUUCGGGUUGUAAACCGCUUUCGCCUGUGACGAAGCGUGAGUGACGGUAAUGGGUAAAGAAGCACCGGCUAACUACGUGCCGGCAGCCGCGGUGAUACGUAGGGUGCGAGCGUUGUCCGGAUUUAUUGGGCGUAAAGGGCUCGUAGGUGGUUGAUCGCGUCGGAAGUGUAAUCUUGGGGCUUAACCCUGAGCGUGCUUUCGAUACGGGUUGACUUGAGGAAGGUAGGGGAGAAUGGAAUUCCUGGUGGAGCGGUGGAAUGCGCAGAUAUCAGGAGGAACACCAGUGGCGAAGGCGGUUCUCUGGGCCUUUCCUGACGCUGAGGAGCGAAAGCGUGGGGAGCGAACAGGCUUAGAUACCCUGGUAGUCCACGCUGUAAACGGUGGGUACUAGGUGUGGGGUCCAUUCCACGGGUUCCGUGCCGUAGCUAACGCUUUAAGUACCCCGCCUGGGGAGUACGGCCGCAAGGCUAAAACUCAAAGGAAUUGACGGGGCCCCGCACAAGCGGCGGAGCAUGCGGAUUAAUUCGAUGCAACGCGUAGAACCUUACCUGGGUUUGACAUGGAUCGGGAGUGCUCAGAGAUGGGUGUGCCUCUUUUGGGGUCGGUUCACAGGUGGUGCAUGGCUGUCGUCAGCUCGUGUCGUGAGAUGUUGGGUUAAGUCCCGCAACGAGCGCAACCCUUGUUCACUGUUGCCAGCACGUUAUGGUGGGGACUCAGUGGAGACCGCCGGGGUCAACUCGGAGGAAGGUGGGGAUGACGUCAAGUCAUCAUGCCCCUUAUGUCCAGGGCUUCACGCAUGCUACAAUGGCUGGUACAGAGAGUGGCGAGCCUGUGAGGGUGAGCGAAUCUCGGAAAGCCGGUCUCAGUUCGGAUUGGGGUCUGCAACUCGACCUCAUGAAGUCGGAGUCGCUAGUAAUCGCAGAUCAGCAACGCUGCGGUGAAUACGUUCCCGGGGCU